rnacentral:rRNA from 1 species
UUGAUGUGUAGGAUAGGUGGGAGGCUUUGAAGUGUGGACGCCAGUCUGCAUGGAGCCGACCUUGAAAUACCACCCUUUAAUGUUUGAUGUUCUAACGUUGGCCCCUAAUCGGGGUUGCGGACAGUGUCUGGUGGGUAGUUUGACUGGGGCGGUCUCCUCCUAAAGAGUAACGGAGGAGCACGAAGGUUGGCUAAUCCUGGUCGGACAUCAGGAGGUUAGUGCAAUGGCAUAAGCCAGCUUGACUGCGAGCGUGACGGCGCGAGCAGGUGCGAAAGCAGGUCAUAGUGAUCCGGUGGUUCUGAAUGGAAGGGCCAUCGCUCAACGGAUAAAAGGUACUCCGGGGAUAACAGGCUGAUACCGCCCAAGAGUUCAUAUCGACGGCGGUGUUUGGCACCUCGAUGUCGGCUCAUCACAUCCUGGGGCUGAAGUAGGUCCCAAGGGUAUGGCUGUUCGCCAUUUAAAGUGGUACGCGAGCUGGGUUUAGAACGUCGUGAGACAGUUCGGUCCCUAUCUGCCGUGGGCGCUGGAGAACUGAGGGGGGCUGCUCCUAGUACGAGAGGACCGGAGUGGACGCAUCACUGGUGUUCGGGUUGUCAUGCCAAUGGCACUGCCCGGUAGCUAAAUGCGGAAGAGAUAAGUGCUGAAAGCAUCUAAGCACGAAACUUGCCCCG